UACGUAGGGUGCGAGCGUUAAUCGGAAUUACUGGGCGUAAAGUGUGCGCAGGCGGCCGAGCAAGUCGAGUGUGAAAGCCCCGAGCUUAACUUGGGAAUUGCGCUCGAAACUACUUGGCUGGAGUGUGGCAGAGGAAGGUGGAAUUCCAGGUGUAGCGGUGAAAUGCGUAGAGAUCUGGAGGAACACCGAUGGCGAAGGCAGCCUUCUGGGCCAAGCACUGACGCUGAGGGGCGGAAAGCGAUGGGGAGGCGAACGGG
rnacentral:rRNA from 1 species